CGAAAGCACAUUUUUCCAAAUCGUACCUUUAUUGCUAUUCGUUUGAUGCGAUUAGGUUUGUAUGAAAUCAAGACCGCAAGACUAGAAGAGUCUGUGACUCACUUGGAAACUGCCUUGUCGUGUUUGCUAGACAAACUACCUACUAGUCAUUACACAGCAGAUUGUUAUUUUUACCUUACUACGUUAUUCCUUGCCAAGAAAGUAGCA